rnacentral:rRNA from 1 species
AUUGAACGCUGGCGGCAUGCCUUACACAUGCAAGUCGAACGGCAGCACGGGUGCUUGCACCUGGUGGCGAGUGGCGAACGGGUGAGUAAAGUAUCGGAACGUGCCUGGUAGUGGGGGAUAACUAGUCGAAAGACUAGCUAAUACCGCAUACGAUCUAAGGAUGAAAGCAGGGGAACUUCGGGCCUUGUGCUAUCAGAGCGGACGAUAUCGGAGUAGCUAGUUGGUGGGGUAAAAGCCCACCAAGGAGACGAUCAGUAGCUGGUCUGAGAGGACGACCAGCCACACUGGAACUGAGACACGGUCCAGACUCCUACGGGAGGCAGCAGUGGGGAAUUUUGGACAAUGGGGGCAACCCUGAUCCAGCAAUGCCGCGUGAGUGAAGAAGGCCCUCGGGUUGUAAAGCUCUUUUGUCAGGGAAGAAAAGGCUGUGGCUAAUAUCCACAGCUGCUGACGGUACCUGAAGAAUAAGCACCGGCUAACUACGUGCCAGCAGCCGCAGUAA